CAGAUAGUAACUGAUGCAAUAUCGAUUCUGUCGAAUAAAAUUCUAGGUAGAAUUAUGAUAAUGACAUUAUCUGCCUACAUGUCUUGACCAAAUUACGUGCCAGCAGUCGCGGUAAUACGUAGAAGACUAGUGUUAUUCAUCUUUAAUAGGUUUAAAGGGUACCUAGACGGUAAAUCAAGCCUGCGAGGGGACUAGUUUACUAGAGUUACUUGCGAGGGGGUAUUAAAGUACUAAUGGUGUAGAGAUGAAAUUCUGUCAUACCUCUUUUCGGAAGAAAAACUAUGGCACAGGUAUAGGCGAAAGCAUCCCCUUAUGUGAUAACUGACGUUGAAGGACGAAGGCUUUGUGUCGCGAACAGGAUUAGAUACCCCAGUAGUCAAAGCAGAAAAUGAUGAAUGUCAUAGAUUAGGCAUAUAAUAGUUUAUUCUAUAAAUGAAAGUGUAAGCAUUCCACCUCAAGAGUAAUUUGGCAACAUUGGAACUGAAAUCAUUAGACCGUUUCUGAAACCAGUAGUGAAGUAUGUUGUUUAAUUUGAUAAUCCGCAAAAAACCUUACCACAACUUGAAUAUUUAUGUUUACUUUUUUAUAAAAAAAAUAUAUUUACAAGCGUUGCACGGCUGUCUUCAGUUAAUGUCGUGAGAUUUUGGUUAGUUCCAUUAAAUUAACGUAAACCCUUGCUUUAUUUUUAUAUAAAGUAGUUCCCCGCUAGAUGGAUAUGAU
rnacentral:rRNA from 1 species